AUUUUUGCAGCCCAGAUCCCAAAAUCUACUUAGCAAGAAGCCGUUGGCUGCAGAGACAACUUAUGAUUGUCAUCCAGCUGGGAAUCUCCCGACCUGCAGAAACCAGCCACUAAAGCAACUAUUCCAUGUUGGACUCCUGUUGUCAAUUCACUGUAUUCAUGCUUAAUGCAAUUUGUGUCUGAUUUGACCUAUGUGCCUGCCCUGGAUUCAUCCUUCUCCGGAACCACCUGCAACUAGGACAAGUCUUCCAGGACUGAUCCUGUUAAAGUAUACAGCCUGAAUUCACAGUGCUCAUGUGGUCCAGAAAUCCUCAGGAGAGGAUUUAAUUUGAAGUGGUCUCGGCUUGAUAGUGCCCUCAGGUGACUGGCAAGAACAAACACAAAAGCUUCCCUGGAAGAAGGACAAACCAGAGUUCAAUCCAGGAUAGUGCAAGUGGUAAAAUGCACCCAAUGGGA
rnacentral:lncRNA from 12 species